UCACGACCGUUCCUUUUACCCUGUUGCUGCAGCCAACGCAGAUCCAAAUGCCGUGGCUACGAAGGCUUGUUACUUUCUCAUGCUGGAUCCCUCAAAUCCAAGAGCUACUUGGCAGUUUCCAAGGCAACCACCUGUGGAAUAAUUAAAAGGAUGAAGUGCUAGUGUGCCAGAUAUAAGGAUUUCUUGCCUGGAGAGAGCGCUUCAUUUUCAUCUGUCUCGAAGAACCAAAUGUGUUUCUGCCAGCAAAGUUAAGAAGAAGAGAUGGUGACUGAGCUGUACAAGCAAACCGGGACAAUCCAAAAAGUGACUCAAAGCAGGAGCCAGCAGAUGGUCGCGUCGUUAGCCGGUGGCCACAGCCUCGCCAGAGGAGUUUUGGAAUUCCCAUCAAAGUCGGGAUUAAGCUCAGGAUAUGCCAGUGGCACAGAGGGGAGCGUGGAAGAAGAGGAAAUCAUUCCCUGCGACUCAUCUUGCGGUUGGUGGGCAAGUUUUCAGCUGGUGAUUUAUCAACAAAGUAUUUUACAGGAUCAUAGUUAAAAGCUCCUCUGAAAAAAAAAAAAUUAAAAAAAAAAUAUAUAUUUAUACACACAUCCUGUGCGAUAGGGAAAGUAAAAGCAUCUCAGUUUUCCCCAUGAUGAAGGAAUAACCGAAAGAGGCAGUUCUUGGAAUAGUAGCUCCAUUGGCACUCGGUGGUGAUUUCCUGUGCAUUCGCUGCGAGAGUCGCGCUGUGAUCGCUCCUGAAAAUGCACACGCGGGAUAAUUCUCUGCUCGCCCCGGAAUAAAGCAGACUGGGAAAUAGGUUUGGAAUUCCCUCAAGUGCCCUUCUCCUUCGUGGCGGGGAUGGGAGAGGAGAACGUGGGCUGGGAGGCGGUGGUGCAAGGUGCACGAGGAGCAGUUUUCCUGGCUGUCUCUCCAAUUGGGCUGAUCUCCUGAGAGUGCCGCGCGGGUGCCGAAGGAAGAACACGUUGUUUGAGGGAAAACCUAUUUAUAAACACGUGGAAACUGAAAGAUUCUGAGGCCAAACCUGUCAGUAAUGAAUUGUUCCAGAAAUGCACGGAGAAAUGGUACAAGGUGGAGGCUGGUUUUUCUGAGGUACAGCACAUCCUGUGUCCCUCCUUGGCAUCAGCUGAUGUUGUAAAUACCUUGCAGACCUUACCCAUUAGAAGCUUUGAGAAGCUUUCGAAAUUGAAAUGCGUUCGUAACAGGUACGGAUGUUUCUCCAAUGGGAAAUAAUGGUUUUUAUUCAAGGGCUCUUUGCUUGUUCCAGAGGAACGUUCCCCAGGUCUUGGUAGCUCUUUUCAGUACAGCUCACCAAAGCAAAGGGAGGAAAGUGAAGUGCUGUCAUCAGUGUAGGGAAUUUUGACAGUAGUGGUUUGUGGCAGAGCCCUGGAACAGGCUGCCCAGGGAGGUGGUGGAGUCUCCUUCUCUGGAGACAUUCAAAACCCACCUGGACACCUUCCUGUGCAACCUGCUCUGGGUGGACCUGCUUUAGCAAGGAGGUUGGUUUAGAUGAUCUCCAGAGGUCCCUUCCAACCCCAUGUGAUUCGAUGAUUCUGUGAUUCUGUCAUGUCAUGAAUUUCCUUCUCCACUUGACCAAAAUGCUUUUCCUUCUCACCUCUUUAUGUCAAGGCCAGCGCAGACCUUCUGUUCAUAUUCAAUUCCAACUGCAGAGCCUUAGUUUUUUUGCACAUUGCCAAUUUUAAGAUAAAAUUGUUCAGCGGGAGAAAUUUAAAUGGAAAAAUUCAAGCCACGGGGAAAACUGGACCUUUUAUAAAAACCUAAAACUCGAGUAAGAAUCUCAAAGUUUGGCGUAUUGAUUUUCUUGUGAAAGUUCAAGAACUGUGCUGCAUUGCAGGCUGAAACUCGUCUCGACUCCUCACGACCAGCUGAGCGAGGGAGAUGAGAUUUGAUGCUAUCCGAGGUGUAAUUCCACAGUUCAUGUCUUUUGCUAGUGCCAGCUUAAUAACUUUCUGCCAACCCCCAGCCCUUCAUUUCCAGCUCAGCAGCGACGUGGUGCCAUCUCUCUCCUGACCGGGUGGAAAACCAGAUGACUGAAAAUAUCUCGAGUCAAAAAAAAACAGGUUUUUGUGGGUUUUUUUAUUUUUUCUUUGAAUUAGAAUCAUUUGAGUGAACUUGUUUAUAGCAUGGCCCGCGGGCAGCUGUAUGGACACAACUGGGGGUGGCACAAACUGUGGUGUCAGAGGCAGUGGCAAGCACUGGAGGGUGUCCCAAUGUUAAAUGGUCUUGCUGUCAGCAAAAAAUCUGCUCUGGGACCAUAUCCUGGAUGAAGGGAGUUUCUCUAGCCACAGUAUUAUUUAUUGAACUGCUGCUUUUCAUUUUAUUUUAUUAAGAAAGACUAACAUCUUCUUGCUUGGGCAGGUUGGUUUUUUGUUUGUUUUUUUUUUUUUCUUGAGGAGAUAAACCCUGUCUGUGAGAAGUCAGUCAGCUUUGUGGACGGCCGUGAAUGUCAAUAAAGACUUGGCAAACACAGCUGACUCCGGGCUUUCAGGCUGUCAGGGAUGGAUCAUAAAGCUGUCAGAAGCAAAGCUCCACCUAAAUCCAUUUACACGGCUCCUGUUAUGGCAGAGCGUGGAAAGGAAGCAAGAAGACUUACUUUUUUCUACAACUUUCCUGUACGGGAUCGUUAUUCCAGCUGGAAUUCUUUCCAAGGUGCUCCCAGGAGAUGUUCUCUGUGAUUAUCCCUGGAUUCAUGCGGUGAAACGCCCACAGUUGUCACUUGCAGACAAAGGUGGCAUCGUGGUUCACGCGUUAUUAACCACAGGAAUUCAUCACUGGGAGAGAGGGGGGGGGUUACCUGAGAGGUGUCUGAAUGCACCUAAACCCCCUGCAAAUCACUAGAAUUUAAUCAACAGCAAAACCAAGCCAUCGUUCUCUAAUCCCGCAGUGGUUUAAUGGCAGCCAAAACUUUACUCUUGUAAAUAAUCUCACCGAUGUUAAAUAAAAAGAGGUGAAUUAUGAA